rnacentral:rRNA from 1 species
UACGUAGGGUGCAAGCGUUAAUCGGAAUUACUGGGCGUAAAGCGUGCGCAGGCGGUUUUGUAAGUCCUGAUGAUGAAAUCCCCGGGCUCAACCUGGGAAUUGCAUUGGAGACUGCAAGGCUAGAAUCUGGCAGAGGGGGGUAGAAUUCCACGUGUAGCAGUGAAAUGCGUAGAUAUGUGGAGGAAUGACCGAUGGCGAAGGCAGCCCCCUGGGAUG